rnacentral:rRNA from 1 species
GAUGAACGCUAGCGGCAGGCCUAAUACAUGCAAGUCGAACGGGAUCCAGAUCAAAGCUUGCUUUGGUCUGGUGAGAGUGGCGCACGGGUGCGUAACGCGUGAGCAACCUACCCUUGUCAGGGGGAUAGCCCGGCGAAAGUCGGAUUAAUACCGCAUGACAUCAUUGAGAGGCAUCUUUCGAUGAUCAAAGAUUUAUCGGACAAGGAUGGGCUCGCGUGACAUUAGCUAGUUGGUAAGGUAACGGCUUACCAAGGCUGCGAUGUCUAGGGGCUCUGAGAGGGGACCCCACAGCAGUGGAGAGAAGCCACGGACCACACUGCGAGGGAGGGGAGGGGAAGGGAAUGGAGGGGAAGGAAGGGAGGUGUAAACAAGCCGGGCGGGGGGAGGAGGGCCGGCGCUAGGGGUGUUAAGCUAUUUUUGAAGAAAAAAAAUCGUGGUAACUGUUCCCGGCUUGAGGGUACCGAAGAAAAAAGGUACGGCUAACUCCGUG